CACUGAGCCAAACCGGCCAGGGCUCAUGUUAAUUCUCGAUGCUAAUAGUUCCUAGUAGAGGUGCUGGGGUGUCGUUGGGGAUAUUGAUGAGGUCUGCCUAAUAAGAGCCCUCACUCCAGCCGGGGCCUGGAGAGCUGCCAGCCAGAGAAGGAGGCUGAGACCACUGGUCAGUCAGGCCUGGAGAUUCUUUUUUUGUCUGUGGGGAUGGGGGGUGGAGAAGGGAGUGGGUGUGAGGAUUAGCGAAGGGGGAAUUAACCGGGUUCUAGAAAGGAGGCAAAUAUGCAAGCCCGUAAUGUGUGGAUGUGUGUGUUUAAACGCCGGGAGGGCACACUCGGCGACCAGGAGGCCCAGGCGGUCCGAGGAUUGCGGGUGGAAGGCAGGCAUGGUCAGGCCCAUUGCACUGACGGGAAGACAGAGACGAGACGUGUC